UACGUAGGAUGCAAGCGUUGUCCGGAAUUAUUGGGCGUAAAGAGCGCGCAGGCGGUGUGCCAAGUCAGAUGUGAAAUAUCCGGGCUUAACUCGGAGGGGUCAUUUGAAACUGGUAGACUAGAGUACAGCAGAGGAUAGUGGAAUUCCCGGUGUAGUGGUGAAAUGCGUAGAUAUCGGGAGGAACACCAGUGGCGAAGGCGACUAUCUGGGCUGAAACUGACGCUGAGGCGCGAAGGCUAGGGGAGCAAACAGG
rnacentral:rRNA from 1 species